GUAAGGAAUAUUGGUCAAUGGACGCAAGUCUGAACCAGCCAUGCCGCGUGCAGGAUGACGGCCCUAUGGGUUGUAAACUGCUUUUGUACGGGAAAAAACCCUUGUUUGCGAACGAGGUUGAUGGUACCGUAAGAAUAAGGAUCGGCUAACUCCGUGCCAGCAGCCGCGGUAAUACGGAGGAUCCGAGCGUUAUCCGGAUUUAUUGGGUUUAAAGGGUGCGUAGGCGUCCCAACAAGUUAUAGUUGAAAUCUUCAGGCUUAACCUGAAAACUGGCUGUAAAACUGUUGGGAUUGAGUACAGUUGAGGUGGGCGGAAUGUGCCAUGUAGCGGUGAAAUGCUUAGAUAUGACACAGAACACCUAUUGCGAAGGCAGCUCGCUAAGCUGUAACUGACGCUGAGGCACGAAAGCGUGGGGAUCAAACAGGAUUAGAUACCCCUGUAGUCC
rnacentral:rRNA from 1 species